rnacentral:misc_RNA from 1 species
GUGAAUCAUCAAAUCUUUGAACGCAAAUUGCACUCUCCUCUGAUAGUAUGCCUGUUUGAGGGUCAGCCUAUAAAAAUCGACAUUGUUGCUGUUUUAUGUUGACUUUCGUCGGAGAUGGUUUAUCUUAAAUCUCUGUUUAAGCGACUUAAAAAUUUUUUUUACUAUUCUAAGAAUUUUUCUAAGAUUUUUCUUUUACGUUUAAGGUAUCGAAUUCCUUAUUAUACUUUUCCUUCAUAUCGUAUCUUGUCCAUAAUUUUUUUCGUUAACUUACCUCAUACAGGUCAUAGUACCCGCUUAACUU